GUCCACGCCCUAAACGAUGUCUACUAGUUGUCGGGAGAGGAAUCUCUUGGUAACGCAGCUAACGCGUGAAGUAGACCGCCUGGGGAGUACGGUCGCAAGAUUAAAAACUCAAAAGGAAUUGACGGGGGCCCGCACAAGCGGUGGAUGAUGUGGAUUAAUUCGAUGCAACGCGAAAAAACCUUACCUGGUCUUGACAUGUAGCGAAUCCUGCAGAGACGCAGGAGUGCCCGAAAGGGAGCGCUAACACAGGUGCUGCAUGGCUGUCGU
rnacentral:rRNA from 1 species